ensembl:lncRNA
CUGCUGCUAAAAAUUAGAAGACUUACUAGAGAGGCAAGCAGGUUGGCAAUUUCAAAUUCAGGCAGUCCCUCCACUGAGCAUUUCUUUGGCACCCACCAGAAUUUUAAAUAUUGCGCGCAAUCCAGCUCCCAUCCCCAAGAUGUGUUCUGUGCUUUAAGGAAGACUUCCAAGUCACUGCAAAGUCAGGAUACGUCUCCCAUUAAAGUGACAAACUACCACAGAUCUCAUUCUAUCAUCCAAUUUAGUCAUUAUGGCCCUUGGGAACAAGAUCAGUGAGGGGAUUUACAAAUUGCUAGGGCUUCCUUGGUAGCUUAGCUGGUAAAGAAUUCCCCUGCAAUGCAGGAGACCCCAGUUCAAUUCCUGGGUUGGGAAGAUUCCCUGGAGAAGGGAUAGACUACCCACUCCAGUAUUCUUGGACUUCCCUGGUGACUUAGUGGGUAAAGAAUCCACCUGUGAUGUGGGAGAUCUUCCCUGGGUUGGGAAGAUGGAGAAGGAAAAGGCUACCCACUUCAGUAUUCUGGCCUGGAGAAUUCCAUGGACUGUAUAGUCCAUGGGGUUACAAAGAGUCAGAUAUGACUGAGCAAUUUUCACUUACACUUAUGGCUCUCCAAAAGCGACUAGAUUUCCACACAAGAACAAACUGGGUUCUAGAGCAAGGAUGCUGUGAAAAUGAACAUUGACAGCACCGCACCAAGUAUGUGUUUGGGGUGAGGAUAUAGAAGGAAAAGGUGAGUUGAAAUAUCCUUUUCUCAUUUUGUCUAUAGCAGAGGAUCCUUAUCACAAAUAGUCAAAUCAGUGACUCACAAACUUAUCUGUGGUUCUCCACGUCUCAACUCAUCCACAACAACAAAAAAAAUGAAGGCAGCAGGGAAGUUCACUGUAUGUAGUCUAAGACUUGAGUCUGCUUCUAAAACUUCCAGUAUAUGAAUUCCACCUUUGACCACAGAGUUCACAUUUUGGUCACCACUGUAUCCUCAGCACAAUACAUGGACGGGUAGACCACAGGACGCCAAUAAAUAUGGGUGAUGUUCAUAUCCAGAAAAAUAUAAAACUGUAGGGGAGGGAAUUCCCUGGCGGUCUGGUGGUUAGGACUCCAUACUUUCACUGCUGAGGGACCAGAUUCAAUUCAGAGUCGGGGAACAAAGAACCCACAAACCGCUCCAAGGCCACAAAAAAAAAAAAAAUGUAGGGGAGAAUGGGUGAGAAGGGCUGCCCAGGAAGGAUCACUUAGCCCAUUCAAGCACGCCUCAGUGCCAAAACGCUGCUUGCAACUGAAUACUUCUAAGAAAUGUGAGAUUGGGGCUUCCCUGGUAAUUCAGUAGUUAAGACUUCGCCUUCCAAUAUGGGGUGAGGGUUCAAUUCCUGAUUCGGGAGCAAAGAUCCCAACAUACCUCAUGCCCAAAAAGCCAAAACAUAAACAACACUGCAACAGUUUAAUAAAGACUUUAAAAAUGGUUCACAUCAAAAACAAUUUUUUUUAUUAAAAAAAAAAUAAAGAAAUAGGGGAUUUCAGGAAAGUAGAUUUUAUGAUUUUCUUUUUUUUUUUUUGGAAGGAACACACUGGGAGCAAAAAAAACGCC